GUGUCGGAGCUCUGGUUAGCUGAUUAAGCAUUAAUUAGCUUCAAUAUUAGUUGAUAUUCCAUUUUUUUUUCUUUUUUUUUUUUUUUUUCAGACGGCGGGUCAUUGGAGCUCCGGUUAGCUAACUCAACAUUAGUUAACUUUAACAUUAGUUGAAAUUUGACCUUCCAUUUUUUUUCUUUUAUCUGUUUUUUUUCCUUUUAAUCUUUUUCUAGUGGUGGAUCGUCGUAGCUCUGGUUAGCUGACUCAACGUUAGUUAAAUUCAACAUUAGUUACUUUUGACAUUAGUUGACAUAUCUUUUUUUUUUUUUUUUUCCAGCGGUUGUUCGUCGGAGCACCGAUUAGCUGACUCAGCAUUAGUUAACUUUAACAUUAGCUGACAUAUUAUAUUUUCUUUCUUUUAUCUUUGUUUUUUAUUUAUUUUUUUCCAGCGGCGGGUCGUCGAAGCUGCAAUUAGUUGACUUGUAUUAGCGACUACAUAUUAGCUGACGUCCAACUUUUUUUCUUUUAACUGAUUUUUUUUUCGGCAACGGGAUGUCGAAACUCUGAUUACCAUGACUAUUCAUUAGUCCACUUUGCAUUAGCUAACAUCCAACAAUUUUUUUUUUCUUUUAAUCCUUCUUUUUCGGCGGUGGCUAUUUAGGGCUUCGAUUAGCUGACUAAGCAUUAUUUGGCACUCGACAGUUUUAAUGUUAAAAUAAGCUAAUCGUAGCUCCGACGAUUCGCCAUGGGAGAGAAAAAAAGGUUGAAUGUUAACUAAUAUUGAAGUUAAUUAAUGAUGAGUGAGCUAAUUAACCGCAUAACUGAUGAUCGGCCGUCGAAAAAAAAUGUCUACCAAUGUUAAAGCUAGCUAUUGUUGAAGUUAACUAAUAUUGAGUUGGCUAAUCGGAGCUCCGACAACCUACCACCGGUAAAAAGAUAAAAGAAAAAAAAAAUGAAAAAUGAAAGAAAAUUGAUUAAUUAAAGUUAACUAAUGCGAGUUUGCUAACGGGAGCAACUACGACCUACCACCGAAAAAAAACAUUCAGACCAGGACAAGCCUGGUGGCCUACGUAAAAUUUGCCCAAAUAUAAAUGAACAUGUUUUUCAUAUUUACCUGGAAACGAUCCUUCAAAUAUAAUUGAAAGGCGUUCAAAUAUUGGCACGUGGGCUGCUAAAAUAAAAUAAAAUAAUCACUAGCAAGAAAACAACUUCUUACAAAAUAAGUGGACACAAAAAACCAAUCCCUUCAAAUUUCAAAUCAAAUCAAGGUUGUAGCACGUGGUAAUUGUCUUUCUCUUUUUUUUUUUGUUCUUUUUUUUUUCAGUAAUAGGUUUUCUUAGAAAAAAUACGAUGAAAUUAAUGUUAUUUUAUUUUAUUUUAUUAUUAUUAUUAUUAUUGAUAAUAAUAUAAUAAAUAAAUGUAUAUUCAUAAAGUUUCUAAUAUACAAAGUUAUUUUCUCGUUUUUUUGGACGAAGGAAAAUGUAUUCCGCUAUUGAAUGCAUGAUAUCUGUCAGAGUACGACUGCUAUUUUGGAUAUAUAAUGAAAAUUUCAUGGUCCUUAUUUGUUAAAUUGUGAAUCGAAUCCCACAUUAUUUCCUAAAAAAAUGAAAAUAUUAAAUCGGAAGACUUUUAAGAAUUAAAAAAAUAAUAUCUAAAUAUAACUAAAUAUUUUGAAUAAUAAUCCAACAUUUAGAAAUAAAACUAUAAAGCAUUAACAAAAAUUAGUGAUUAUAUAUAUGUAUUGGUUUUUGCAAGGUGGUCCUGGGAUUUUUGGGGUCUAAGCUCUGGAAAAAUGAUUUAAUAUUAUUUUAACUCGAUAAAACAAAUAAAAUUAAAUAUAUGGUUAAAUUAUUGAAAGAGGGAAAAAAUGUAUAAAACUACAAUAAAAGAUGUCAAUUAAAUACAUUCUCCUUUUAUUUGUCUUUCUAAAAAAAAUAUUUGAAAAUAGUUGUCACUCUGGAUUUGCAAUGAAACAUUUAUUAUUUUUUUCUCAUAUUUAUCCUUAAUGCUCUUAAUAAAAUUAGGUGAAAUAAUUAAAGAAAGUGGCUUUCUAGUCAUAUUAUUAUGAUUUUCUCAAAUUCCACGCACAUUUACUACUUUUUUUUAAGGACAAAUGGCAAAAAGGCCCAUCACAUGGGACUUAAAUGCAUUUUGUUCCACAAAAAAAACAGUCUCUCAAUUAAGCUCAUCCCCAUGUUUUUAGUCUAAAAUACCCUCAAUAAUAUAAUUCUUAUCAAUUCCACCCAUUAUGCUUUAACUUCCUUAAUUUACACAUUGACCCCGGUUUCAAACAAAUAUAUCACAUUAACCCCCAAAUUUUUUUUUUUUCAGAAAAUAAGUUUUUUUCUGAAAUGUUUUUUUUCCGGCCAGAUUUCGACGUUGACUUUUUUUUUUUCCUGAAUUUUUUUCCGGCCGGUCUACCACCGUUGACCGCCGGUCUCCGGCGUUGAUUUUUUUUUUUUUUUUGAAUUGUUUUUCUUAGAAAACAAAUAUUUUAAUUAAUAUUACUGUAUUGGCUACUAAAUUACUGUCUUAGACAGUAAUAUUACUGUUUGGGACAAUAAUAUUAUGAAUAUUAUUUUUCCGAACAGUAAUAUUAUUAAAAUUAUUGUCUAAGACAGUUAAAUUACUGUUGGAGACAGUAAUUUAACAUCCAAUGCAGUAAUAUUAAUUAAAAUAAUUUUUUUUAAGGAAAAAAAAACGCCAAUUAAUAGUUAAAUUAUUGUCUCCGACAGUUAAAUAACUGCCGGAGACAGUAAUUUAGCAACGAAUACAGUAAUAUUAAUUAAUUAUUUUUUUUUUAAGAAUAAAAAAGUCAAUUAACAGUUAAAUUACUGUCUCCGACAGUUAAAUAACUAUUGGAGACAGUAAUUUAGCCACGAAUACUGUAAUAUUAAUUAAAAUAUUUUUGAAGAAAAAAAAAAAGAGUCAAUUAACAGUUAAAUUAGUGUCUCCGACAGUAAAAUAACUGCCGGAGACAGUAAUUUAGCAGCCAAGACAGUAAUAUUAAUUAAAAUAUUAUUUUUAAGAAAAAAAAAUUAUAAAAAAAAAGUCAACGCCGGAGACCCGGCGGUCAACGGCAGCACCGGCCGGAAAAACAAAAUUUCAGGAAAAAAAAUUUCAAAAAAAAAAAAGUCAACGCCGGUCAACGGCGGCGACCGGCGGUCUCCGGUGGUGGCGGGUCAAAAUUGAAAUUAGGGUUAAAAUUGGUUAAUUGAUGAAAUUGGCCUAAAUUGGGGUGUAAAUCAUGAAAUUGAAGUUAAAUUGGGUUUCAAUGAAUUGAGCGUAAUUUUGGUAUGUAUAAAAGAAUUUUCCUUAUUUGCAAAUAAGUUUGAAUGAGCCGUAUUUAUUUGAAAGACAAAAAAAUUGGAUGUCCCUGUUUUAAUUAAGUGCCCUUAUCAUGGGCCUAUUUGCCAUUACCCCUUUUUUUAAUACUCGUGCAUCAGCUCAAAACCACAAAUAAAAUGAGAAGUAGUAUUUUGUUUUCUUUUCGAGUUGGCGAGUUGCACCACAGGAUAUAUACUAAAAAAGACAUUUUAUAUAACUAUUCUUUUCCCAUAAUGAUAGGUAAUUAAAAUAGUAGUAAAUUCUGAUUACACAUUGAUUUUUUAAUCUUCAGUGCUUAAUGGAAAUGGACGAACAAAAGGUUCUAAUGAAAAAUCUUUUAAAUUUGAAAGAAUAAUUAUGCAAUUAAUUCAAAGCCCAGUUUUGCUAAAAAAAAAACCCACUGUAUGGAGAUUUUAAUUUCCCAUCCAAUUGUAAUUUUAGAAAACUCACACUCAAUUUUAGUAUGUAUUUUGUUUAUAUAUAAUAUAUAAAACAUAAUUCUUGAAUUCACCUAUUUCCAUCAAACAAGUUCGAUUUUGUUUCAAAAUUCAAAUAAUCAAGUUUUGCACAUCAAUGAGUCACAUAUUGUAGAAAUUAUUUUAAUUAAAGUUGUUCAUUGAUCUAUCAUGAAAUUUCUUACUUGACAAAGUAUUAUGAGUUUUCGCUGAAAAAAAAAAUGAACCACAACACUUAUUUUUACAUACUAAGCAAAAAAUAUUUACAUCGUAUUUGCCGGUAAUAGUGUGUCACUAUUUCAACUAGUAAUCAUGCCCGUGCGUUGCACGGGAUCGCAUUCAACCAAAGGAAAAAAAAUAAUUGUUUAAAUAAAUGAUAAUAAAAAUUGUAAUAAAAAUCUAUCAAAUAAUAUUGAAAUAUAUCUGUGAAAUUCAGACUACAAAACUAUUACUUUAUUUUAUAGUAGCAUGUAUUUUCUAUCCUACAAUCGGUAUACACACACACAACCCGAGUGUUAAUAUAUAAAGUAUAUGUUAAAUAAUAAAUUAUAUAAAUUUAGCAAAGGGAACGACAAUUUUAAAUACAUUGUUUCUCAUUUCAAUACCGCCUAGAUAAUAAAUAGGUGAUGACAUUUGAACCUGUAAUGAAAAUCAAUAUCACACAAACAUAAAAAAUCUCAUUUUUCUUUCUUUAUUUUCCACACACAAACCCGUCACACCCCUUCUACUCAUAUUUCUUCUUCCUCCUCCUCCUUCUUAUCCUCAUCCUUUUUCUCCUGAUUUUUCUUCUUCUUCUCAUUAUUCUUCUUCUUCUUCUUCUUCUUCUUCUUCUUCUCAUUCUUCUUCUCAUUCUUCUCAAUCUCAUUCUUCUUCUUAUUCUUCUUCUUCUUCUUCUUCUUCUUCUUCUUCUAAAUAAAUAAUUGUAUUGUUUACGUGUAAAAAACAAUUGCUUACAUUGAGAUCAUGGUGUUCUAACUUCGAGUUAGUAGGUGGUUAGAGUGAUGGAUAAGAAAAAUCCAAAAAAUAAAAAAAUAAAAAAAAAUUAGAAACACUGUAAUUAGAGUGGAGUGGAAUUAUACCGGCCACUACCUAAAAUAAUAAGAAAAUAUUAAAUGUUCUAAAAUUAUAUAUUUAUUGAAAUUAAAUAAUUGACAACAUAUCACAUUAUAAGAAAAAUCGUAAAUAGAUGGAGAAAUAAUAUUGAAAACUUGCUGAAUACAAUUAACAACAGUUUUAACGAUAAAGCAAUCAAACCUGAUGCUCCAUAGUUUAUCGAAGUCCAAUAUAUCAUCACUCGUCAUCUCUUGCUCCAUUGUGUCUAGAAAAAUGACCGUUAAGAGUCAAUCCUUUAAGCUUUUGAUCCAUCCUAAAGGAAAAUCACCAUUGAAAGCUUUUGAUAAUUAGCAAUUCUAAGUGCCGAUUAUGUAUCUUAUAAUUGACAUUCAAGAUGCUCAUUAUGUAUGUAGGUUCCCCUCCAAGAUCCUUAAGACAUGCCAAUGUGUGUAGGCACUUCGUGUAUGAAAUUCAGGAAAAAAAAAAAAAAAAAAAAAACACAAACAAAAGUUUUACUUAUCGUGUGUGAAGGUUUGGUUUUUUUUCUUUUUUAAAUGUUGUGAUAUUGUGCAACAAAGAACCGAGAGGGAGAAUGUGGAAAAAAAAUAAUUGCCCCUAGAACUACCAAAAUAUAAAUAAAUAAAUAAAAGAAAAUUAAAGAAAAAACUACCCAAUAAAAGCAUAAAAAAGUUAAAUGACAAAAUUGUCUUUAGGUAUAGGUCUAGGGUUAUAGGUCAAAAUAUCUUCUUUGGAUAUAUAAGAUUGCCCCGUGCGAUGCACGGGACAAAUUAUUUGUCAUUUACGCACGCCAAAUAUAUUGCAUUAAUUUGUCCAGCAACAAUUUUUUUUGUCUCAAAGGUAAUGAGGUCUGUUAUUUAUAGAAUCCAAUUUUUUUUCACAAUAAACACAUGUAAAAUUGCAUUUCAAUUCAUGACUAUUAAUUAAUGGACUUUUUUAAGUGUUAUUUUUUAACAUAGUACAUAACUAUAGUCGCUACAAAUAAGCCGUAAACAUUGAUCAUAAUAAGAAAUGUAUGGGUAAUCACUAAUGACGAACAGAUAAAUAGAUAAUUAUAGUAUAGAAAAACUAAAAUAUGAUAAAAAUAAAUUAAACUUAACAAAAUCGGACAAAUUGCAUGAAACAACUUCUCUGAAAACUGCCCAAAAAGAAGAAAAAAUAGAGAAAACUACCCAAUUUAUAAAUAAGUAAGAUUGUCUAGGCAUUGUACGGGGUGUGUGCAGUUAAUCUGGUAUAGGGUUGUAACUGGUAAGCGAUGGGCAUAAAAAUAUCCAGUUAUAAAUAAAAAAUGUACAGCUAAAAGAAAAUGGGUAUAUUCACUGCAUUAAAAUCCAAAGUAAUUCUCUGUAACGGUUUACACUAAAAAAAUAGUGAAAUCUGAGCAAAUCACUCAUUUUAUAUAUGUCCAAAAUAUCUGAUUAAAUCAGUUUUGCAAAAUAAUAUGAUGUCGAAGAACUGGUAGGGGCAGUCAAAGAAAUAUUCAGGUUUAUUCUAAAAAUAUGAUGUCGUUCAUUAUGCUUUUUUUCCCUUCAAAACACUUGGCAUGAGGUGGUUUGAAACAAACACGAAGAUGAGAACAAACUCGAAGAAAUAUGCAAUCAAUAAGCAUUAAUUGUUUAGCUACUAAGAGGUAUAAAUACGAAACAAAUGCAGGCAGAAGAAUACGACUAUAGAGAUGAAAACAUUGAACUCAAAUAGAAAAGUUGGUUUAAACCACUGACAAAAUACAAAGUGGAGGCAUCCAACAAAACCGCAAUCCAUGAACCCAAUGCUUAUCUCCAUAAUCCCAUUUACCAAUCGAAGAAAAACAAAAAAAUGAUCUUCAAAGGAUAAGGUAUAAACGACCAGGAAUCGACAACUUAUCCAAUAAUGAACAUCAUCUCAGAAAUUAAUAUGAGGACAACAACGAUAUUUCAAUGAAAGAAUGCUGCUAUGGAACUUCGCAAACUUUGAUACAAAAUUGAAGUCGCGUAAGUAAUUAGAACUUCGCAAACUUUUUGGAGGAAGAAGAAGGAACAUACAGUGGAAAAAUUAUGUGUUUUAACAAACCUGCAAGAAAGCAAAAUACAUUCCACAAACUUUAAACCACUAUAAACAACAUAAAAUUUGAAUAUGUUAAAAAAAUGGCUACUAUGGGAGAUUGUAAGCAAAGAAGAUAUACCUUCUACGUCGGUUGUUAAUUGUCGAUGAAAGGGGAAAGAAAAACUUAACCUGCAGUGGAAAGAAAAAAAAUUAAGAAAACACAAACCAUAUGUUCUAAGCAAGCUUAAACAAAAUAUGUAUCUAAAGAACAAAAAUAAAAAAAUAACAGAGCAAGGGAAAAGAAUACAUAAAUCUAAAUCAGAUACGACAAUAAAUGAUUUGCAGGGAAAUAGAAGUGUUCGAACCUAUUGAUAAGCAAGAAUAUUGAGAAUGGAGCAUCAUUACCACCGCAAACUCUAUAUUGUGUUUGUGGGAGAUAAAGAAGGGAAUUAACUAUUAAGCAGUGAUGUCAAAAGCCGAUGGAAUCUCACAGGGAAUCUAUAAAAUUUCUACGAUGAUAUAAAGAAUUGAGAUGAGAUCGUGUCCUUGAUGAAGAUCGUGGUUGCAGAGGUUAACGAAAGAUCGUGUGUUUAGUUUUUGCUGCAACCGUUGAAGAAAGAUCGUGAUUCAGUUUAUAUAUUCAUCGUGUAUUCAAUUUUGUACAAAUUGGAGGCAUUUUUUAUUUAUUUUUUUACUUAUUGAGAAAUGAAAAAACUGCUAACAUAUGAAUUGUCAAAAGUACCCCUAGGUUUAGAUUUAGGGUUGUAGGUCAAAAUAUCUUCUUUUUAUAUAUAAGAUAUAGUAACAAUAAAAAUAGAUUAAAUGAAGAAAAAAUAAAGUUUUGUCACUUAAUAUGCCUUGGUGACAAUUUUUGAUAUAUUCAUCAAAUUCAAGUAAUAAUACUGUUCAUACAAAUAAAUUUUGUUUGCAUGCAUGUACCAUUUAUUUAUUCUUUUUAAUUUGCAACAAUAAAUUUUUAGUCCAUUUAGCCGCCCAUGCCCACCAUGCGCACUAGUUCUUGAAUCCACACACGCGCACCGACCAGAGCGUGAGAUUCAAACUAGAUGCCAAUGAUCGACGUGUCUAUAUAAGGUUGGUCGUUAGCAUUCCCAAAAAUCCACACACAACAGCCAGCCACCAUGGCAUCUCUCCCGCUUUCUUGCUACACCACCACCCAAUUCUCUAGUAGUAUCUCCACACAGCCGCCGCCGCGGCAGCGCUUCUCCGCCCAAACACCGCCGCCGACACGGCGGUUUCAGGUCAGAAGCACUGGUGGCCCAAAUAACGAGAAAGGUGAAAACAGCCCACCAAAUGGCGGGAAAUUCGACCGGAGAAAUUUACUCAUGGGCAUGGGAGGGCUGUACAGCGCAGCAAAUCUCGUCCCGACCGAUUCGCCGGCAUCGGCAACUCCGAUUUCAUCGCCGGAUCUCUCGAAAUGCUCGAGGGGGACAGAUCUGAGCACGCAGCAGCCACUAGACGUGAACUGCUGCCCGCCGGUUGUUGACGGAAUCACCAACUACAAGCUGCCGCCGGUGACAAAGAUGCGGUUCCGCCCCGCCGCCCAUCUCGCCGGAAAAGAGUACAUAGCCAAGUACGAGAAGGCGGUUGCGGCGAUGAAGGCACUCGACAAAACCGACCCAACCGACCCACGAGGCUACAGCCAACAAGCAAACGUCCACUGCGCAUACUGCAACCUCACCUACGAACAAUCCGAAGACUCCGACACAAAACUACAGAUCCACAACUCAUGGCAUUUCUACCCUUGGCACAGAUGGUACUUGUAUUUCUACGAGAGAAUCUUGGGCAGUUUGAUCGACGACCCCACCUUCGGUCUUCCUUUCUGGAACUGGGACAAUCCCCCCGGAAUGGUCAUGCCCGACAUGUUCGCGGUAACCACUUCUCCGCUUUACGAUGCCCGCCGCAACCUGGAGCACCUGCCGCCGGCGGCGGCGGACCUCAACUUCGCCUCAAAGCCCACCACCGACCCCUCCAAGAUAGUUACCAACAAUUUGACCACAAUGUACGGCGAGAUGGUCCGGAACGUCUCCAAGCUGGAGGACUUCUACGGAGCCAAAUA
rnacentral:lncRNA from 1 species